AAAUUGAAGAGUUUGAUCAUGGCUCAGAUUGAACGCUGGCGGCAGGCCUAACACAUGCAAGUCGAACGGUAACAGGAAGCAGCUUGCUGCUUUGCUGACGAGUGGCGGACGGGUGAGUAAUGUCUGGGAAACUGCCUGAUGGAGGGGGAUAACUACUGGAAACGGUGGCUAAUACCGCAUAACGUCGCAAGACCAAAGAGGGGGACCUUCGGGCCUCUUGCCAUCAGAUGUGCCCAGAUGGGAUUAGCUUGUUGGUGAGGUAACGGCUCACCAAGGCGACGAUCCCUAGCUGGUCUGAGAGGAUGACCAGCCACACUGGAACUGAGACACGGUCCAGACUCCUACGGGAGGCAGCAGUGGGGAAUAUUGCACAAUGGGCGCAAGCCUGAUGCAGCCAUGCCGCGUGUAUGAAGAAGGCCUUCGGGUUGUAAAGUACUUUCAGCGGGGAGGAAGGUGUUGUGGUUAAUAACCGCAGCAAUUGACGUUACCCGCAGAAGAAGCACCGGCUAACUCCGUGCCAGCAGCCGCGGUAAUACGGAGGGUGCAAGCGUUAAUCGGAAUUACUGGGCGUAAAGCGCACGCAGGCGGUCUGUCAAGUCGGAUGUGAAAUCCCCGGGCUCAACCUGGGAACUGCAUUCGAAACUGGCAGGCUUGAGUCUUGUAGAGGGGGGUAGAAUUCCAGGUGUAGCGGUGAAAUGCGUAGAGAUCUGGAGGAAUACCGGUGGCGAAGGCGGCCCCCUGGACAAAGACUGACGCUCAGGUGCGAAAGCGUGGGGAGCAAACAGGAUUAGAUACCCUGGUAGUCCACGCCGUAAACGAUGUCUACUUGGAGGUUGUGCCCUUGAGGCGUGGCUUCCGGAGCUAACGCGUUAAGUAGACCGCCUGGGGAGUACGGCCGCAAGGUUAAAACUCAAAUGAAUUGACGGGGGCCCGCACAAGCGGUGGAGCAUGUGGUUUAAUUCGAUGCAACGCGAAGAACCUUACCUGGUCUUGACAUCCACAGAACUUUCCAGAGAUGGAUUGGUGCCUUCGGGAACUGUGAGACAGGUGCUGCAUGGCUGUCGUCAGCUCGUGUUGUGAAAUGUUGGGUUAAGUCCCGCAACGAGCGCAACCCUUAUCCUUUGUUGCCAGCGGUCCGGCCGGGAACUCAAAGGAGACUGCCAGUGAUAAACUGGAGGAAGGUGGGGAUGACGUCAAGUCAUCAUGGCCCUUACGACCAGGGCUACACACGUGCUACAAUGGCGCAUACAAAGAGAAGCGACCUCGCGAGAGCAAGCGGACCUCAUAAAGUGCGUCGUAGUCCGGAUUGGAGUCUGCAACUCGACUCCAUGAAGUCGGAAUCGCUAGUAAUCGUGGAUCAGAAUGCCACGGUGAAUACGUUCCCGGGCCUUGUACACACCGCCCGUCACACCAUGGGAGUGGGUUGCAAAAGAAGUAGGUAGCUUAACCUUCGGGAGGGCGCUUACCACUUUGUGAUUCAUGACUGGGGUGAAGUCGUAACAAGGUAACCGUAGGGGAACCUGCGGUUG
rnacentral:rRNA from 1 species